GGUGGAGCCUGCGCGGUUUGAGGAGCCUUCCCGCGGCCACUGCGCAGGCGCCGGGCAGCUCGCCGCACUCCCGCUGCGUUUCUCCAAAAGUUAAGUCCAGCGGGUGGACCACCAUCCAGCGCAGCUGCACACAACAGAGAAGGGAAAAGAAAACUCCCCGGGGGCUCCGUUGGCUUCCCUGGGAGUGACAAAGAUGCUUUCCCACUAGAAGCCCGGAAGCCUCCUCCUUUGCAAUCGGAUGAGGGCUGCAACGAGCACCACUCAUUCUUUUGAAGCCCCUGCUACAAGAGCCAGUUGCGUUUGGGCCCGCGGCGCCUGGCCAUCCCCUUCCAGGCUGGAUUCUGCAGAGGUUUGCCUAUUGUGGACAUUUCAUAAAAAUGGGAUCAUAUAAUGCAGAAUCUUUUGUGACUGGUCCUUUAUACUGAUACUGGAUGUUCAUGUUAUUUCCAGGUUUGGGGCUAUUACAAAUGAUACUACUGGGAACAUUAUUAUACAUAUCUGUAUGUUAUAGUAUCUAUAGAUAGAUUUGUAUCACACAGGUACAUAUUUCUAUUGAGAUAUAUACCUAAGAGUGGAAUAGCUCAGACAUAGGUUAUGCUUAUGGUUAGUUAGAGUUAAUAGUACCAAACUCUUUUUAAGUUCACACUCCAACCAGCAGUAUAUAAUGAGUUUUCAUUGCUCCACACCCUCACCAACAUUUGGUGGUUGUGUGGUUUCAGUUUAUACUUCUCUGAUGACUAAUGAAAAAGAACAUCUUUUCAUGUGAUUAUUAGUCAUUUGAAUAUCCUCUUUUAGUAAAGUACCUUUUGAGUCUUCUUUUCUAUCGGGUUUUUGUCUUUUUCUACUUGACUUAUUUAUUCUAAUGUGAGUCCAUUUUCAUUUAUCAGUGCUGCCCAAAAACACCCUUCCCUAAUCUGUGGCUUGCAUUUUAAUUAUCUCAUUGUUAAAUGUUAAUAAAUGUAAAUUUUUUAUUUUUAUAAAAGUCUGAUUUAUCAGUCUUCCUUUCUGGUUCAUGCUUUUGCUAUCCUGCUUAAGAAAUCUUUGCCUACAGGGACAUCUAAAAAAUCCUAUGUUACAUAGAGGAAUUUUACAUCUAUGUUACAAGUUACAUCUAAAAACAUACCAUUUUUCAUCGAACAGUUAGAUCUAACCAUGUAGAAUGGAUUUCGAAGUAUGGUAUGAAGUAAGGGUUAAUUUUAUUUAUUUAUUUAUUUUUAAUAUAGUUAUCCUACUGACCAAGGUCCAAAAGACCGUCCUUUUCCCACUGCUCUGCAGCACUGUCUUUGUCAUAAAUUAAUAGAAAGGCAAAUGAGUGAAAAUGUUGGAAUUAGUAGGCAAGGACUUUAAAGUAACCAUGACAAAUGCAUCAAAGAAUCUUAUUUUUUUAAAUGCAUCAAAGAAUCUUAUUAAAGAGGAGAUAAAAUAAAUGAAGAGAUAGGAAAUUUCAAGAGAGAUACAGAUAAUUUUUUUUUAAAAAAUGGAAAUCCUAGAACUGCAAAAUACAAUAUCUGAAAUUAUUUGAUAGGUUUAUCAUUGCAUUGUACACAGCAAUGAAAGGAUCAUUAAACUUAAAAGACAGAUCACUAAAAAUCUUCUAAAUUUAAAUAUACUGAGAAAAAAGGUUUUUAAGUAAGCAAGCAUCAGUGACUGAUGGAAUAGUAGCAGGUGAUCUAACAUACAUGAAAUUGAACUAAAAGCAAGGAAAGAGAGUAUGGGGCAGAAAAAUAUUUGAAAAAAAUAUUAGCAAAAGAUUUCUGAAUUUGUUCAAACAUCCUAGGAUUUUUACUUGUUUUCAGUGGAGAGUUAAUCCCAAUAUCCUAGCUUGCUAUGAAUGGAAUUUAGAAGUUAACAUAAAUCUACAUGAAUAAGCAGAACAUUUUAAAAUCACACAAAAUAUGGAAAAAUAUCUUAUUGACUGGAACUGUCCUAAGCAUUACUGUACUUUUAUAAACGUUGCCUACUUACUAAAGGCCAGUAGCACCACCCCAAUCAUAGUAACAUCAAAAUGUCCUCAGUUUUUCAGAAUAUCCCUUGGUAGAUAACAUAGCCCUGCAUACACUGAAGACCCCUCUCUCGGGUGACCUACCACUGUCUCCUUUGUCUACACCCUUUUGAACCUUAUCUUCUAGUGCUCACAUCUGUCCAACCACACUGACUUCUUUCCAUCUUCCAGCUUUUAGGAUAACUUAUCUCUCUUCCCCAGUGUUCCUCCCCCAGAUAUCCAUAUGUCUGAUUCUUUUCUCCUCCUCAGGUCUUCGUUCAAAUGUUAUUUCCUCAACAAGACCUGUAGAUUAAAAAACACAAAACAAAAAUGUUGCACAUUCUUUCCUUCCUAGUUUGUUUUUAUCUGUAGCCUUUAUUUGAAAUGCUGUGUAUUUUAAUUAUUUAAUUUGCUAUUGUCGGGGCAGGGGCACCUGGGUGGCUCAGUCAUUAAGCAUCUGCCUUUGGCUCAGGUCAUGAUCCCAGGGUCCUGGGAUUGAGUC